GAGGGUAGAGCUCAGGGGUGGAGCACGUGCUUAGCACGCAUGAGGCCCGGGGUUCCAUCCCCAGCGCCUCCA
rnacentral:tRNA from 1 species